rnacentral:lncRNA from 1 species
GAAUGUGUGCGGCCGCUUCCAACCCUAUUCUAUAAGAACCCAUGUAGAACCCUUCAACGUCUCAAAUAGCAACCACACAUUACAAGCUUCAAAUAUCUACAGAGCACUUUUUAUUAAGAUCUUCUUGCUUUUGUUCUCUUUUCCAUUUGCAGUUUUUCUAGAUAUUUAGCAAUGUCAGGACUUGUGGACAUUUGGACUGGCGAGCUUGCCAAGCUACGUGAAAAGGGUCAGGCUGUUUGGUCAAGUGGCUCGAGCCCUACAAAUGUUGAGUCAAGUAAAGUGGUUCCAGGAGAGGAAGGAAGCUUACGCUUGGUAAAGCCAUUGCCUGCUUCAAUCAGAGGCAUGCGAGUCAAGUCACCUGCAUUGACAUAUUCUGAGGCUUCACUUUCCAUGCUUGUCGACUGCUUGAAUCAAUGAAAAAUGCUUGAAUUUCAAGGUUCUUUUCCCUUUUUGGCUAUGGAUAUUCCAAUUAUUUUUUUCCUAAUAUCAUUGUAAUAACCAAACUAGCAAAAAAAUAGCUGUAUACAUUAAUAUUUGCUAUAGUCAAACAAAAGAAAAAAGGGUACUUGAAUUUUAUGGUUCUAUUCGAUUCACUCCUUUUGUGUUUGUACUUGAUACAAGGGUAUAAUUAAUCACAUUCUUCAUGGGAAAAUCAGUACAGCAGAUCAUCUAGGAAGAAUAAACACUAACUAAUGUUGCUUGGUUGCCGUGGUAUAUCUUGGCUAUGGAGACAUUCCGUGGGCACUAAAAUAUGGACAAAACCACCGAGAGCUAUGGAGUUGGCUGCCAAAAAAUCUUGUCUUAUAGAAUACAAACCUUGAGCUAAGCACCCUUGGCGUUUCAAAAUGUCAACCACUCAAAACCAGCAAAAAAAUCUUUCAAGCACUUUUAAGGAUCCUUUUGCCUUGGUCUUUUCAUUGUCUGUUUCUAUUGAAUAGGAAACACAUUUUCAGUGUUUUCUAAAAUAAAGAUGAGUUUCACGCAGAGAUUAAAGAAACCUAAAAUAAAACAAGGGUUUAAAGCUACGACAUCACACCCUAAAAACACUUUACAUGUAACUGUGAUGUGGCCUGUGAUCGAGAUUCCAACUGGUCUACUUUUCACCAGCACUAUAGUUUCCAUCGGGACUCAAAUUUUGGAGAUGCGGUUCCUUCGCACAGUUGCUGCCGAGGUGGUUUCAACUAAUCAAUUCACAGCCUGUUGUGUUCAUGGCCAAAGAAGCAAAUGCUGUCUCAUCUGCAUCAAAAGAUUUUGGUUUUGAGCAACCCUCUGGCAGGUUUCUUCGCAGUCAGAUCGGUUACUUGCAAAUAUCAAAUUGCAAUUUCCUUCAGAAGUACUCUGGAAAUCAAGUAACCAACAUCACCAUUGCAUAGUGUAUGGUUAGAUUUAUUUCGAAGUUGUAAUUGCCCCUAGCUAGUGCGGCUGUUUCUUCUUUGCAAAUGUUUUCCCAUGACCUGGCUGUGAAUGUUUCACCUAAUUCAGCGGGUUCCAUGAGGAGAGCAUUUGCUUUCAGUGAUGCUGCCCGACCCCUAGCAUUUUUCUACUUAAUCGUGUAUGUUUGGAGUGUUGUUGGAUAGGUCUCCUAUCUUCAUAAUCUUCGUUGCUCAAAUAUUCAAUUUAAUCUACUUACUGACUCGAAUGUUUUUCUUGGUUUAUGGCAUCAACAUCCAUCUUUUUCUAUCCUGACUAAAAAUGAGCUCCAGUCCAGUCUCUGCAACCUUGUUAGCAUCCAGAGGCUAGAUGGCAGCUUGUGUCUUGCGUCAAAAAGUGUAGAAUUGUUUCUCUCUGCUAAAAUGGGAGCAACUGGACGCCCAACGAACCAAAUGUUUCAUCUGAUCAUCCAUUAUAGAUUUUUUUUUUGUUUUUUGUUUUCAAUUUCAAAACUUCCAAAACCAUUUCUAGACAUUGUUCUACCUCACUCCGAAGAAAUAUAUAUGAAAAAACAAAAAAAUGUAGAAGGAUCAUCUGUAACUUGUAGGCAGGUUACAAUUGGAAGUUCAGUACUGACUUCCUAGGUCACAUAAAGGGAAACUUUGAAAGAGGUGCUCGGUUCCAAAAUCUAGUAAUCUCCUAUAUAUAUAUAUAUAUAUAUAGCCAAUGCCCAAUAAUUUAUGUGGAUUGACUUCGAGCCGUUGUCAUGAGUAAAACCACUAGCUCUAUAAAGAAAGAUUUACCACUAGCUUGUUAGGGUAUUGAGAUUUACCAUUGGAAACAAAACUGUUGGCUAUAUGGCACAGGAGACAAGCACAAAACUCCCCUCAAGAAUGUGUGCGGCCUUAGUUAACCCACAAAACCGCUUUCUAACCUUGUUUUAUAAGAACCCAUGUAGAACCCUUCAACGUCUCAAACAGCAACCACACAUUACAAGCUUCAAAUACCUGUAGAGCACUUAUUAAGAUCUUCUUCUUGCUUUUGUUCUCUUUUCCAUCAGCAGUUUUUCAAGAUAUUUAGCAAUGUCAGGACUUGUGGAUAUUUGGACUAGCGAGCUUUCCAAGCUACGUGAAAAGGGUCAGACUAUUUGGUCAAGCGGCUCGAGCCCUACAAAUGUUGAGUCAAGUAAAGGAGAGGAAGGAAGCUUACGCUUGGUAAAGCCAUUGCCUGCUUUAAUCAGAGGCAUGCGAGUCAAGUCACCUGCAUUGACAUAUUCUGAGGCUUCACUUUCCAUGCUUAUCAACUGCUUUAGUGCUUGAAGAAGAAUGUUACUGUAAUAAGCUUUCAAUGUCGACCUUCCACUCUUUGUUUUGUGUUUUUGUCUUCAAAACUCUGUAAAAAUGGCCCGUGAUAAACUCUUGAUAAAAUUAUGCAUAAUUACAGCUUGAAUCUCAAGGUUAUUUUCCCUUUCUGGCUUUUAAUACUCCAAUUAUUUCUUUCUAAUCUCAUUGUAAUAACCAAACUAGCAAAAAAAUAGCUGUAUACAUUAAUAAUUGCUUUAGUGGCU